GUACAGGGUAGGGGCAGCCGCGGCAAGGCAAGCAAAGGAUGAGCAGAAACCACUUGCUUCUGGAGUCAAGAUUUUCUUGGGAAACUGGAUGUGUUUUCUUGCAGAAGAGUCCUGUCAUGCUCAUGAAAGAAGAUCUGACUGUCCAAAUGUGCUUCAGAACUCCAGAGAAUUUCAUUUCUAAGCUAUACUUUCCAUGCAAAGCAGCCUAAGGGCAUUCCUGCAUUAAUGAGUACAGCCAGCUCUGGCAAGGUUCAGACUGUUCUUUGUGCAAACUCCAUCGAAUAUUUUAAUCUCCACUUGCUUUUGAAAGAAUAGUUGGCUCACAAUAUUCAAGCUUAUAUUUACUCUGACAGUGAUUAUAGGUCCUGUGCCUCUUGCAGGUGUUACUUAGCUUUGUCUCAGAAUGUCUUUGUGAAGUAGGGAAAUAUGGCAAAUGCUGGGCUAGGUGUUUUGGAUGAACAGUUUUUUCACAGAAAAUGCAAUCUUCAUCUGAAAGCAAGAUACUAUGAAUUCAGUUUGAAUUUAGUUCAUUAAUUAUGGUGGAAAAUAACUGUAAGAAGAAUAACUGAAUAAAAACCCUGUAACUUUGUUACA
rnacentral:lncRNA from 14 species